CCCAGGACAGCGCAGAGCUCAAGGAAGACGGCGGGGAACCAGAGGUGACGCACCCGGCUGCUGACACCCCGGAGCCCCAUUUCCCCUAAAGCCCCCUUGACUCUGUGGAUAUAACUGAUCUCCGGCAUUCUCGUCUUUCUUAAUAACCACAAGCAGAUGACUAGUUUGCUGCCUGUGGUCAAAAUAUGGAAAAUGUUUUAUCUUGUUUCCUUCAUCCUCCAUUCAUCCACCCAUCCAGCUAUUCUUUAUCCACUCGUCCUUUCUCCCUUCCUUCCUCAAGCAUUUUUCAUCCUUCCUCUGUCCACCUGCACUUCUGUCUUUCCAUCAUCCACCCACCAUCCAUCCAUCUAUGCUUCCUUCCAUUUUCCAUCCAAUAUCUGGCCUUUCUUUUCAUUCAACUGUCUUCCUUUCUCUCGUCCUCAUUCUCUCAACGUGUCCUUCCAACCACACAUCCAUGUUUCCUUUUCCUUACCCCCAUCCACCAUCCUCCACCUGUCUAAUCAGUCUUCCAACUGUCCCUACCUCCUUCCUAUCCAUCAGUGCAUCCACUGAUCACAUUUUCAUGAACGCCUCCCUUCUUAGGCUGGACACUGCUUAGAUUCAAACACUCACGUCUUAAGUUCAUGUCCACAUUUUCAAUCUGAAUAAACCGUAGACUGUUCUAGAAAUAUCUCAGAGGGAAGACAGACUUCAAAAGCGAAAGGGACAACUUGAGACCCGCAAUACAGUAGGGGUGUCCACAGGAGGUGAUGCGAGUUGGGGUGAUGCCAUCCCAUGGCUGGUUGGAAUGGAUUCCCUGGAUGUCCUUAUGGGACCUCACGCUGCCCAGGAGGGCAUCUCAGACUGAAGGGACAGAGACGCAUGGAGACAUCAGAAGCAGGGAGACUCCCACACGUGGAGCAGGGCGUUGGGAGUGGAGAGGAGGAGCAGCCUGGAGGAGGCCCCUGACAAAUUUGGACUUUAUCAAGAAGCCAGUAAGUGUCCUAGGAGAAAGAUGCACGCGGCUGCGCGAGGAAGGAUAGAAUGUGGGGAGCCAGAGCGUGUCACCGGAGACAGAUGAUUUGGAAGUUCCCUCUGGCCAGGGGGCACACAGCGAACAGGUCCUCCAUGUCCCUGGCUUCCUGGGACCUGCAUUCCAAGGACGACAAGACCCACUGGACACUUGAGGAGUCUGAGUCCCAGAGAGGUGAAGCAACCUGCCCACGGAUGCAGCGGAGCUGGUGGCCAGGGGAGAGCAGAAGCCAAGGGGCUGAGGAGCUGUGGACAGGGAAUGGAGCUGAGCGGGGGCUUCCCGAGACCCAGGAGCCUCUGGCACUGUGCCAGCUGCCGGGUGACUCAGCAAAUGUCAUUUCCGCUCAGACCAGGGCCGAGAGCCAGGCGGGGGGCGGGGGGCUGCAAGGUCCCCGGUGGGAUGCCAGGUGUGGGGCAGAGCUUCCGCGGCCUUCCUUCCGGAGGCUGCUUGGUUUCCUCUCCCUCUUCCUGCGGGAACCUGCCUCCCCUCACACCCACCCCCUCCGUCCCGCCGUCUCCUCCGCUUCCUCUUCAUCUGGCCUCUCCCCUCAGCCAGACCCGGGCCUCUGGCCGAUCGCACGCAGGGCUGACCGAGGGGGCCGAGGCGUGUCUUCUGGCCCCUCCAAGAUGCCUCCAUUUGCUGCCCUGUGAAGCGGUGCUGUUUGAGCUCAGGGACUGCGUGAGGCUUUGCAAACCACACAGGACCCUUGGGUUUGCUGGGCUGAGCAGAAGCUUGAGGCCUAACUGACAGCCCCAACUGUGGUGAUAAACGCUCGCGUUAUGCCACUUAAUCUUCAUAACAAAUCUAUGAAGUAGGGAGCACAGAGGGGUUCAGUAACUUGCCCAAAGUCACACAGCUAGCAAGUGUUGGGCUUAGGUUUGAAUCCAGACUAUCCAGUCUCCACUGCCUUAAUGCUGGACCAUCAUAGGCUCUACCUUUUCAAAAACUGGAAGGACCACAUUGGCUAUAGGAGAAGAGGAGCUGGCAUGCUCAGUAUGGAGAAGAGAUGGCUUGGGUACAUGGGGACCAGUGGGGAAUUUGGGGGACCCCUUCCCCCUCUCUUCAUCUAUCUAGCUCCUGCCUACCCCUUCUGACUUAACUCCAGGGUCAGCACUCAAUCAGCACCCUCCUGGAUGCUUGUGGAGUACAGGUGGUUAUUUUGUUGCAUCGAGCACAUUCUCUGCACCAGGUACUGGGCUAAGCACCUAGUGGGGUUCUUCCAUUGAAUCCUCGUGGCGUCUCUGUCAGUGCCUGACUUGGCCAGGCAGAGGUCUCUGGUGGCAGUUGCCGAAGCCCACUGGAGUCAGCUUCAGAGAAAGGGAGCUUGGUUGGCAAGCCCCGGAGCCUUGGGGACACCUGGUCUCAGGGAAGGACUGUGGCGGACACCAGGAACCCACACUUCUCCUACAGUCUGAGGCCAUGGCAUCUCUUACUGCAUCUCUUACCCUGCGUCCUGAGACCCCUGGGACAGGAGUCUGCUCAGUUUAGAAGGAACUUCUCCAAGUCAGAGUUGUUCAGACACACAGGGGAUGGCCUCUGGAGAGAGCGCCAACUCACCAGGACACAUGCCAGCAAGGACAGAAAGGCUUGGGGGAGAAUGUCCUGGCUCUGAGGAGGCGUGGGCCCAGGCAGCCUUCUGAGGACCCCUCCCAUGGGAGCCACUUGGGGCUGAGAGAUCCAGAAUUGCAUUUCCAAUGCCUCCUUGGUGUCUUCCCAGGGUGUCUAGUGGGCAUCUCCCCUAUACCAGCCUGUCUCACAGAUUUCCCCGUCCCUGCCCAUAGCACCUCCAGCCUUCCAGAUGCCCAGGACAGAACCAAUGUCGCUCUCUUUGUCUUCCAUUUCACAUCUGAUCUUCCUUGGACUCUGCUGUUCCUACCUUCAGGAUCUACCAAGUCGGACUUGCUCCUACCAGCCUGGGCCAAGCCACUGGCCUCUCUCAUCGGUAACUGCUGAUCUCCAUUUAGUCCACUCCCAGUGCAGGGGGUUCGGUGGUUUGGAUAAGUGUCCCACAAAGCCCCAUGUGUUAAAGGCUGGUGCCCAGCCUGGGGUGCUGUUGGAAGGUGGUAUAACCUUUAAGAAGAGGGGCCUGGUGAAAGGUCUUCCCAUCCCUGGGGACAAGUCCUUGAAGCAGAUAUUGGGACCCCAGCCCCCUCCUCCUCCUGUCUUUUCCACAUGGUCCUGAGAGUUAAACAGGCUUCCUCUCUACACACACCCACCAUGAUGUGCUGGGCUGCCACAGGCCCAAGACCAGGGCCAAUCAGUCAUGACGGAAACCUCUGAAACUGUGAGCUUUGCUUUUCAAGUUGAUUUAUCUCAGCUACUUGUUACGGUAACAGAAAGCUGAUUAACACAGGAGCUUUCCAAAUAAAGUCGGACCAUGUCCUGAGUGGCCCCACCUACGCAGCAGAAGCCAGUCGCACAGUGGCUCCCACGAUCUGGCCCCGCCUCACCUCCUCCCACUGCUCACCCCUUUCUCCCUCUCUGCAGUCUCUCUGCCCUCCUUGCUGUUCCUCCAAAGAACCAGUCGCAGUCCCCUCCUCACAGCUGUGCACGGGCUGCCCCUAGGCCGAGCCCUGUCCGCCCACCUGCCCAGCCCAACCCUGGUGCCCCAGGCCCUUGCACACAGUAGGAUUUUUCUCUAUUUCUGUUUUCCUUUCCCAUAGCACUUGCAAGCUUCAUAUUCUGUAUAAUUUCAAAUGUAUUAUUUUUCAUUACAAUCUGUCUCAAUCCACUGAAACAUAACCCAUAAAUAAACUCUCAGGACACUGA